AGAUGCGCAGUAUCAUCAGCGUCUCUGUCCCUGUUUGGUCAAAGGAGAGAACUCGACGAAGGAUUCAUUGGGGCAUACACUAAACAUCCACCUUUUCAACUAGAGGUCCGGUCACAAAGGCUCCUCGUCUGCAACUGUGAGAGAAGGCCCCCCACUUAGUGUAUUUGACAAGCUGAGUUGGACACUCAGUAUGACAGGGUGUCAGUUUGUCAAAUACCCCAAGUGAGGGGUCACUUGUCUGCUGAGCAUCUCCCACCAGACUGACUUCAAAGAAGAUCACUUCAUAAACCUUCAAGUGACUUUCACUGUUACCCCGUUAGACUUUCUCAGGCAAAACAUUUGAUUGUGUGAAAAUGUACUGUGAUAGUGUACAUGAUCCUGCACUGUCACUAAUGUCUCAUGUAUUCGUGUAAGUUUGUAUGAUGACACUUGGUACACUGUGUAACAAAUGUGUGUCCCUGUAUUAAAUACUGCAUAAGUACUGGGUAAACUUGAGGUCCCUAGCAUAUGUAAAGACGAUGUGUAUAGACAAAUACAUAGAAAUGGAAUAGAGAUUGCAUUUCUAUAGGUAACGUUUCAUCAGGUUUCUAAGCACUUUUUGUAUGCCUAAAUUAAGUACAUAAGGGUGACUGACCCACUACCGAUGUCAAGUAAUCACUGGGUGACAGACUGGCACGGUGAGCGAUGGCACAUUGCUCUACAAUGCUCAGCACAAAUUGGUUAUCAUGGAAGAAAUUAAAGGAGAGUUUCUUCUAAUAUGAAACAAAAGGUUGCUUUCAAUUAAGGGAGAUAUAGAGCAGUUGGAGAUAUAUCACGUAUUUAUAGGGCGGCAGGUAUCCUAGAGAUUAGAGCCUUAGACCUUAGCCAACGAGGUGAAAAAUCUGUCGACGUGCCCUUGAGCAAGGCACUUAACCCUAAAUGCUCCAGGGCUGCUUUUGAUAAUGGCAGACCUUGGCUGUGACCACACUCUAAGGGUGUUUCAGGGAGAGAUGGUAUAUGCACAUUUACAAUUCACACAUGCAUAUUAACGUGUGAAAUUAAUGUGUGAAAUAGGACAAAUAUAAGCACACACCAAAUUUAUAUUUAAUUUGCAAUCUAUGCUUUUACAAUGCCUAUUAUUAUUAUGUUCAAUAACCUGCCUUUGGAUACUUCUGUAAAAUACCACCCUUUAUCUGUCAGACCCACAUGCCUUCCUGUGCUCACAAAGCCACAUGCGCUUGAGUAAGAGCGGAUGUCUGUACUGUCUUGUGAUUAGAUAGCAGUGUUUGACUCAUAUACUGCAUAGCAACGGCAGUCAAUAAAUAUGGAUCGAUUGACUGAUUUAUUUUGAAAGAAAUAACACAUUAAAGCAAAAUUUACUUGUUUCCAACGUGGUCCCAGAUGGAAUAUACAAAAUGCAGAUAAAACACAUAAAACAACAGUAAUCCCAACAGUACAUGGAGCUAUCUAUCACCCAUCAUUAUCAUUUGUCAUCAACACUGAAUAUCAUUGUAAUCUACGGACAUGGUACCAAAACAACCCAGUAUCACUACACUAUACACUGAGUGUACAAAACAUUAUGACUACCUGCUCUUUCUAUGACAGACUGACCAAGUGAAUCCAGGUGAAUGCUAUGAUCCCCUAUUGAUGUGAAUUUUUACAUCCACUUCAAUCAGCUUGACGAAGGAUUUUUAAGCCUUGAGACAAUUGAGACUUGGAUUGUGUAUGUGUGCCAUUCAUAGGGUGAAUGGGCAAGAAAAAUGUAAGUGCCUUUGAGCAGGGUAUGGUAGUAGAUUCCAGGCUCACCGGAUUGUGUCAAGAACUGUAAUGCUGCUGGGUUUUUCACACCCAACAGUUUCCCAUGUGCAUCAAGAAUGGCCCACCACCCAAAGGACAUCAAGCCAACUUGUGGAAUGCUUUCAACACCUUGUAAAGUCCAUUCCCCGACUAAUUGAGGCUGUUCUGAGGACUCCUGUGUGAACUAGGGCUUUACUACUCCUGUAUGAGGACAAAAAAUGUAACAAAACCAAAUAUGGGACUGAGUCACAAAAUUCAACAACCAAGACCUUACUCAUUAUAGCUUAUUCAGUCAUUAUCAUAAUUUCACUUUAAUGGGAAUAGUGUUGCUUGCCACAUUGUGAUAAAGAAGCAGAUGCAUUCUG